rnacentral:lncRNA from 1 species
GAGAAUGCCAAGAUUUCCUCCUUUCUUUCCUUCCUUCCCCAACGCAGCUGCCUUGUCCUCUUUCUCCUUCCUUUCCUUCUUUUUUUUCUAUCUUUUUUUCCUCUCAAAGAAAAACCCUUUUGCCGCUGCAACCUGCAGCCUUUAUGCCCAUGCUUGCUGCCCCAUUUUUGCUCCAUAACUCACCCCACUAACAGCCAUUUAGUGAUGACAAUAAGUGAGAGGAAAUGGUAAAACAAUUGUAACUCUUUGGACAACCUUUAUGCCAAUUACUCCCACUUAAUCCUCAUCUUUAAUUCCAUUUCAUCUGAUAUUUGAAUAGGUGUCAGCUGGCUUGUUCUUGGCUGCAUUAGUUUUGGCUGCUAGUUUUAUUGGAUUUAUUGCCUUCAAUGCAGUUACAAACUGCUCAGCGUCUUGGAAACCUUUCAGUGUUAAAACGGCCAUAACUUCUUCUAGCAAAAUGAUAUUAACAAUCCGCGAAAUGCUCUAGAAAAUAGACAUCCGUAGCUUUCCAAGAAUAUAAGGCUCAUUCUCUAAUUCAUUCUGAGUUGUUUGCAACUUGCUUCCAAAGUCAGAUGAUCUGCACAGGCAGUUUUGACGAAUUUGUUACUUAAUAUCCAACUUGUGCUAUUUUUCUUUUCUUUGCUUGACAAAUCCCACAAAACACAAAAACAAAGUAAAUAGCUCAAAAAUAUAAGGAACUAACUAAGAAAAGAGAAGUGAAUUUGAUGUAAAAUAUAUAUAAAUAUGAGCUUCUCAUACAACUGCAGCUAAGAGUAUGUUUAAUGGGUCGAAACGCUAAAACAUUCGGAGUACGGAAGAUGAUAGAAGUUGCCCAGUUCUAUACUUGAUGCUUGAUGUUCAACUAAUCAACGUACCAUAAGGGCAGGUGCAGAUAUGCAAAACAUGUUUCUAUGCUCACUCCGAGGAGUAGCGCUAUCAAAAAGCUUUAGACAUAGAUGACAAUCUUGUUCAGUGAAAAUUGUCUUGCAAAAUUCUUUUGCCAGUGAGCCUAAAUCAUAGGAACCAUGGAAAAGAAAUCAAACAACAAGCAAUCUUAUAGACGAAUGAGAACGAGUACGCAAUGGUCUAAUCAAUACAAAUGACGAUGGAACUAAAUCUCACCAGCGAGAGAUGUUCCCUCAGUGAAUGAAAAGACAUGAAGUGCUUUUUACACACUCCACAUCUCAGCUGAUGAACUGAGUGGAAUGAGCCCUUGGUGUGCUCGAAAAGAUGUUCCUUUUGCCUGUACUGCUUGUAACAUGAAGAACAUCCGUAACAUGAGGAAAGUUUAUAAAUAGCCACCCACCAAAACACAAAUUUACGUUCAAUUUCUCAGCAACCAAGCAAGUCCUUGUGGAAAUGUGAAAGAAAAUGCCAUAAAGCUCAUAAAUUUCACACAGAGAGAGUGAUCGAACCUUGUAUAUUUGGUAUUAGGAAAGUCUGGUUCGAAAUUCAUGGAUCCCGGAGCUGUUCUCUGCGAAACACCUAUGGAGCUCCAAGAUUGGCGCGAAAAUUGCAGUGUGAGAAAUUGCGCAGAAACUG